GUGCUGCUUCAUAUUUUUGUGGAAACCAUGACACAUUUAUUUUUUCCAGGUUUUUCUGUUGAAUAGAAAGUUAAAUAAAAAUAAAAUAAAAAUUAGUUUGAAGUAUCAUAAUAAAUGUCCUUACACUGUCACUUUUGAUGAAUUUCAUCUGUUUGCAAAAAAAAAUAAAAAAUCUUAAAAAAAACAACACCCUUUGAAUAAAUGUAUUAAAUGUAAGCAAUGUAGACAAUUUCCAUUAAUUACACUCCCUUGUGUCGUUACAAAGUAAGACCUUUGUUCAUCUUUGGAACACAACUUAAGAAAUUUUUGCUUUCUGACACUGCAUAGCAGCUGACACAUUCAAGGCCCAGAAAAGUAGUCAGGACAUUGUUAAAAUAGUUCAUUUGAUAUCAGUGGUUAAAGCGUAAUGUUAUGAAGCUAUGAGAAUACUUUUUGUGCACAAAGAAAACUAAAAUAACAACUUUAUUCAAAAAUUUCUUCUCUCGGAUUUAAUCAAAAAUAUCUUAAUUUGUGUUCCAAAGAUGAACAAAGGUCUUACUUUAGUAAUUAAUGACAGAAUUUUCAUUUUUGGGUGAACUAUCCUAACCAAUAAAACUGUCAGUGAAAAACAAAAUGAACAGGCAUCAAUCUAUUCUGAAAGAGAAACUAUUCUAACGUCCCCUUGAUGAGCAUGAAAUGGCACAAAAGGGGGUGGGUCCCAGAGGGGCGUCCCAUUCAAGCCUCUGUGUGAUAGUAAACCUGAUGCGUUGCUGACACUAUCAGCAGAUGUGCGCCAUUUCUACAGAGUGAAGGGGGUCUGGGGCUCAACCUGAGGUUAUUGAUCCUUCACCAGUUCAUUUCAACUUAAUUGUGCUUGAAAUAAGGUGUAUGAAAAACAGCUUGGACAUUCUGUCUAACAUCUCAUUUGUGUUCACCAGAAGAAAUACAGGGCUGCAUCAACAAGAAGACUUCAGACUCUCUAAAGCUGAAUGUGAGGGGUU
ensembl:lncRNA